AUAAACAAGAACUGCCAAAUACUUUUAUUCGUCAGACUAUGGCUCUAAAAUUAUAUUGGACUUUUGUGUUUCUUCUUAUUGCAACAGGUCGAUAUUUUGCUGAAGAUGGACAUUAUGAAAUGGAGGAGUUUCUGAAAAGGGAGCAUUCAUUGUCAAAGCUCUAUCAAGCUCCUCCCAUUGGGAAUUGAUGGGCGAUGCCAUGGUAACCACAGAGCAGGUGUGCCUCACAUCUGACAUGCAGAGCAAGCAGGGGGCAGUGUGGAGCCGCAUUCCCUGUCACCUAAGGGCCUUGGAGUUACAAGUGCACUUUAAGAUUCAUAGCCAAGGAAUGAAGAAUCCUAAUGGGGAUGUACUGGCAAUUUGGUACACCAAGGAGCGCAUG